rnacentral:rRNA from 1 species
UACGAGGGGGGCAAGCGUUGUUCGGGAUCACUGGGCGUAAAGGGUGCGUAGGCGGGUCUUUAAGUCAGGGGUGAAAUCCUGGAGCUCAACUCCAGAACUGCCUUUGAUACUGAAGAUCUUGAGUUCGGGAGAGGUGAGUGGAACUGCGAGUGUAGAGGUGAAAUUCGUAGAUAUUCGCAAGAACACCAGUGGCGAAGGCGGCUCACUGGCCCGAUACUGACGCUGAGGCACGAAAGCGUGGGGAGCAAACAGG